GGAGGAAAAGAAACUAACAAGGAUUCCCCUAGUAACUGCGAGUGAAGCGGGAAGAGCUCAAAUUUAAAAUCUGGUGUGUCUCUGGCCGCCCGAGUUGUAGUCUGGAGAAGUGUUUUCCGUGUUGGACCGUGUACAAGUCCCUUGGAACAGGGCGUCAUAGAGGGUGAGAAUCCCGUCUUUGACACGGACUACCAAUGCUCUGUGAUGCGCUCUCAAAGAGUCGAGUUGUUUGGGAAUGCAGCUCAAAAUGGGUGGUAAAUUCCAUCUAAAGCUAAAUAUAGGCGAGAGACCGAUAGCGAACAAGUACCGUGAGGGAAAGAUGAAAAGCACUUUGGAAAGAGAGUUAAACAGUACGUGAAAUUGCUGAAAGGGAAACGCUUGAAGUCAGUCGUGUCUGCCAGGACUCAGCCUUGCUUCUGCUCGGUGUACUUUCUGGUCGGAUGGGCCAACAUCAAUUUCAACCGUCGGAGAAAGGCUUUGGGAAUGUGGCACCUUCGGGUGUGUUAUAGCCCUCUGUUGUAUACGACGGUCGAGAUUGAGGACUGCAGCACGCCUUUAUGGCCGGGGUUCGCCCACGUACGUGCUUAGGAUGUUGGCGUAAUGGCUUCAAGCGACCCG
rnacentral:rRNA from 1 species